rnacentral:rRNA from 1 species
UUGUGUGUGCCAAAGAAAGAAGGUGGACAUGGACUUCGAUAAAUUCAUUGUUUUAACAUAGCCCUGACGAAAUAGGCUUGGGGAUUAAUUGAUAAUACGGAUUCUCUUCGUGCUCAUGUUCUCAAAGCCAAAUAUUAUCCAGAUUGUGAUAUUUUAAAUGCAAAUAUGAAAAAGAGAGCCUCAUUCACAUGGCAAAGUAUUAUGUCGGGGUGCAGACACUUAAAAGAGGUAAUAUAUGGAGGAUCGAUGAUGGUAGUCAGAUCAAUGUUUGGGAUGAUGAAUGGAUCCCUAACUCACCUACUAGGAAAGUGA